GGCAUGGUUCUGCUGUGCUUUGUGGCAAUUUGUUAAAGUGCCUGGAGCCCUUGAUUUAUUUUUCUGUUGUGCACAAAUACACAUUGUUAAGAUAUGAUAUUGCUGACUUGACUAUUCUAAGCUGUCGUCCUUUGGAAUCUACUUAUUUAAUCAUUUUCUAAUUGAUUCCUUUGAAUUUUGUUUUGUGCAGUACAUUCCUGGAACUAAGAUGGUCUUCCCUGGAUUGAAGAAGCCACAGGAGCGUGCAGAUCUCAUUGCCUAUCUGAAGGAUGCAACUGCCUGAUCUUCUUGAUUAGAGCCUCUCAAUGAUGUGCUUCCUGAACCAGUUAUGUUUUGAGAUUGCAUUAGUUGCUCGACUUGACAAACAAGCAUUGAUUUUCUUUACGUAACACAUGUCGAUUUAUUUAAUUUGGCACCAGUUCUUUCCUUCAUUGUUAUUCAUGGAAUCAACAAUUUGUUAUCGCUGUUUAUUUCAUCUGGGUGACUCAGGUCAGGUCUUUAGAGAUGGUAAAACUUGAUGAACUUCAUUGGUAAAAAGGCAAAACCUUUUAGACAUGCAAUUGUCCUCCUGGUUUUCUGGAGUAUGAGUCCCAUAGAUGAAAACAAUGUAGUAGUGUUGGCAGUUCAUGUGAAAUUCUGUGGGAUUGUCUUUGGUAGACUCUCUAGGUUGGACUCUCAUUAUAUAGUGAUAUCAUUGAGAAAGGACCUUUGAAUUUGCAAA